AAACUAAGGAAGGCUAGGUCUCAGCAAUCACUAUCCAACAUUACGCAUGUUUUACGGUCUUUGUGAUAAUCUUUCAUAAUAUGACAGCUAAAUUUGAGCUUCAAGCUUGUACUUUUUUUUGUACAGGUGUGAUUAGAAAUGCGGAACGAAAGAGCACUUCUUAUUUGAGCCGUGGCGCACGGACCGUUUAUCAGCUCGGCCUACGAAGCGCAAGCUCGGUCCUCGAUUCUCGGUCAUGCGGCACCACAACAGAGCUGUUUGAAUUAUUAUUCAAUCGUUCCCAAAAGCUUCUACGCAAAAAAAAAAGAAAAAAAAAAAAAAAAAAAAAAAGGGAGAAACGUUGUGCAACCAAUGAACGAUUAGUUUAUGAGUAGUUAACGACAGUUACAAUGUGUUUUUAUCUAUAAAUAACCUAGAUUUACUGUUUAUUAGGUUUACCGUAGUAACACUAACUGCAAAUCUGGUAUUUGCAGAAAUGUGGUAUAUUCAUAAUGCAUGUCUUUAUACUGUUGUUUCUUAUGAAGCUAUGUCAGUUUUUGCAUUUUUGUUGUACUAAAUGUGUUUAUACUUGUGAUUUAGACAAAUGGAAUAAUCUGUGAAGCAAAGACUACAACAACCUGCUAUUUAAUGGAAACAUUUGAAGAGCAAGGAGUGGAUGAAAGUUUUAUGCUGCUGGAUGACAGUGGUUCUCAACUGUGGUCCUAGAGUAUCCCCAGCAAUACACAUUUUGGAUGACUUCCUUAUCUGACACCCUUUUCCGGCCUUGGAGUCUCUCGACUAACAAGCUGAUGGUCAUGGAGAAACUGCCUUCAAAACCCUUCCCGCUGUCCUGCCAUCAUCGCCAUGCCUCACAAAUGGGAAAAUGGUGCUGAAAUGAAGCACAGCUUAACUGACAUUCAGCCUGUUGGCGCAUUACCUGAGCAGUGAGACAAGCCGGGAUCCACAUGACUUGAUGCCUUGAGGACAAAGAGAACUCCCAAGUUUUUUUUUUUUUUUUUUUUUUUUUAAAAUAACAUUAUUUUUUCAUUGUGGCAUUGAACAGAAGAUCUUAUUUUAAGCUAUGCAUGUAUAUUUCAAUUUUUAUUUUUAUUUAUUUUUUUAACAUAUGAAAUACUGUUCAAAGCCUUCUGCUCCCAUUUAGGAGGUUUUGUAGCAUGCAAACUUUAAUAUACAGUAGUAGUACAUUUGAAGUGGAUCAAAAAAGUUAAUCAAAGUUGUCCUAAAAACUAAGUUGUCCUAAGAAAAUGGUUUUAGGGACAACUUUGAUGAAAGGUUUUGAUCCACUUCAAAUGUUGACUAGUGUAUUAAGAGGGGUUCCCUUAACACACUUUGCUGCCUCCUUAAGAACUUUGAUCAUCAUCAUUAGGUCCAACAUAUUUGUGGUUUUAUUACUUAAGGUAUGUUUACAGCACAUCAAUGCAUACAAUCUACAGUGUUGACUUUUCAUUAAAGAUAUGUUUAUUUAUUGAAGAAUUUAAUGUUAUGAAUUUAUGUGUACUCGUAGUUUUUCAUUUAGUGUUCAUUUUGUAUUUGUGUGUUCUGUAUGUACAUUUUAUGUGUUUUGAGUUUACUCUACAUGGUUGUGAAGGUUUUAAAUAUAGGUUUUAAUUGUGUACUGUUUGUACAAAUUUAUAGGUUUGAAUUUAAUAUUUGUACUGUACACUUUUGAGUAGGUUUAAAUGUAGUGUUCAUUUUGAAUUUUUGUGUGUUCUGUAUACAUAUUUUAUUUAUGUUUGAGUUUACUCUGUACAUGUUUGUGUAGGUUUUGAAUGUGUACUGUUUGUACAAAUUUGUUUUGAAUUGAUGUACGUACAUUUAUGAUAUUUACAUUAAAUGACUCCACAAUAUUUCAUUUGUAAUUUAAAAUAUAUUUGUUAAAACAUGUUAUUUUAUACAAAUAAACAAUCUAGAAAACAAAGUAUGUUUUAUAUAUUAUAAUAAUGUCAUGAAUAAAAGUAAAUAGUUAACCCAACUGUUGGGUUAUUUUUAACCCAAUUGGCUUUUAACCCAACCAUUGGGUUAAAAAUAACCCACAGUUGGGAAGGUGCUAUGUUAACCCAUAGUUGGGUUACUUGUUGGGUUAUUUUUAACCCAACAUUUUUUUAGUGAAAUAUAUAUAUAUAUAUAUAUAUAUAUAUAUAUAUAUAUAUAUAAAAAAAUACACACAUACAUACAUACAUACAUACAUAGGAGGUGGAAGAAGAAGAGGAGAGGGUAGAUAUAAAUCGCACUUUUGCAGCUGGGGGAUCGAUUAGAAACGCAGCGGUGUUUACAAUCGAUCACCCAUCUCACUCUCGCUUCUUCCUCCUCCUGUCUGUCUGGGCUCAGAUACAAAUCUGAACGGCUAGGGGUUUUUCCAUGCCCUCCCGAUCUCAAACGUGGAGAUCCGGAAGGAAUGAAAAACUUAUGGGAGCUGCAGCGUUUAUGGACAGAAAGGAACCGCUCGUCGAGCCGUCCGCGUGCGGUCCCUUUCUUAACGCGCCCUCAUGGCAGCCGCAGCCUGCCAGAAGCGCGUCCCAAAAACAUCAGCAGCGCCCUCAAGCACUGUCUAUGCACGCUCCUCUCCCAGACAGAAAACGCCCAGAAAUGUGUAUAUCAAGUGUCAAAACCUGGGACACGGAUGAACACACUCUCUUGAACGUUUGUAAGGCAUAUUAGAGAAUUCCUUACCGGAGUCGAUACAAUUGUGAUCAGACAGAACAGUCCCGAAAGACGAGAAGAUACUGACUGAUUCUCUAGGCACUCCUUAUAUA